rnacentral:rRNA from 1 species
UACGACACAGGAAGGCAUCUUCUCUGUGUGGAAAGCUCCGGCGGUGCAGGAUGAGCCCGCGGCCUAUCAGCUUGUUGGUGGGGUGAUGGCCUACCAAGGCGACGACGGGUAGCCGGCCUGAGAGGGCGACCGGCCACACUGGGACUGAGACACGGCCCAGACUCCUACGGGAGGCAGCAGUGGGGAAUAUUGCACAAUGGGCGAAAGCCUGAUGCAGCGACGCCGCGUGAGGGAUGACGGCCUUCGGGUUGUAAACCUCUUUCAGCAGGGAAGAAGCGCAAGUGACGGUACCUGCAGAAGAAGCACCGGCUAACUACGUGCCAGCAGCCGCGGUAAUACGUAGGGUGCGAGCGUUGUCCGGAAUUAUUGGGCGUAAAGAGCUCGUAGGCGGCUUGUCACGUCGGAUGUGAAAGCCCGGGGCUUAACCCCGGGUCUGCAUUCGAUACGGGCAGGCUAGAGUUCGGUAGGGGAGAUCGGAA